CCAGUAUGGGUUGGAAUAUGGUGUAUAUGACCCCAGUGCUGACUGUAAGGAAGUAUAGUGCAUACCUUCUCAUGUUUUCCCAGAACUCCUCCACCAAGGGCCCCUCAGGCCCCAGAGCCAAGGCAUCUUGUUGCCCAUCAAUUCCCAAAAGAAGAAAGGCAAGGCCAAUGGAAACACCUCCCAAGAGCAUCCAUCUAGGAAUUCCUUCUGUGGGAGCUUUUAUAGGCUCAUUCCCAAUGGUCUUUGGGGAUUUAGGCCUGGCU
rnacentral:lncRNA from 1 species